UACAGAGGGUGCGAGCGUUAAUCGGAAUUACUGGGCGUAAAGCGCGCGUAGGCGGCUUUGCAAGUCGGGUGUGAAAGCCCCGGGCUCAACCUGGGAAUUGCAUUCGAGACUGAAUAGCUAGGGUACGGUAGAGGGAAGUGGAAUUUCCGGUGUAGCGGUGAAGUGCGUAGAUAUAGGAAGGAACACCAGUGGCGAAGGCGGCUUGCCAGAAUGCGCUCGACGGUGAGGGAUGAAAGCUGGGGGAGCAAACCGG
rnacentral:rRNA from 1 species